rnacentral:lncRNA from 1 species
UUAUUUAUCAGAAACUUGGCAAGUAAACCCUUAACUCCACUUCUUGUUACGCAAUUGGUUUCAAUAUCGGACUUUGUCAUGUGUAAAGCCGCGGCAACUUCUUCAGACUUCGGAAUCUUUUCUAAACCACUGAAAGGUGUUUGAUCAAGGAUAGGUAUCCCAAGCAUCCUGGAGAAUUCUUCUAAUGUGGGUACCAACUGAUAAUCUGGGAAUGUGAAGCAAUGAUGUUUAGGAUCGAAGAACUGGAAUAGGACCCUCA